UAUGUACAUUCCUAUAGAAUAGAGGUAAUGCACUGAAUCCUUUUAGAAGUUUGCAGCUAAGCACGCUCAGGAUAGAGUAGUACUGGGAUGGGUGACUACCCUGGAAGUCCUAGUGUGUACAUGC
rfam:Picea glauca, whole genome shotgun sequence.